CCCCCUCUCUCUCUCACCCUAGCCUCCCCCCCUCUCUCUCUCACCCUAGCCUCCCCUCUCCCUCUCUCUCUCUCUCUCACACCCUUAGCCUCCUCUCUCCCUCACCCUAGCCUCCUCUCUCUCACACCCUUAGCCUCCUCAGCGUGUUUGACCAUGAAUCUUGUUCUAGAGGCAGCUCUGUAGAGUGGUCACCAGCUGGCACAGCCACCAAGUCAUAAAGUCUGAUUUUACUCCUAACCUUAAAUUAAAGCCAAAAAGCAAAUUUGUUUUCAUGAAUUUUUACAAUCUAGAUCAUUUUGACUUUGCAGCUGGCCCAUCUAGCAGAAAUCUUUCAGUUAUGCCUCAAAGGCAAGUUUCAUGACAGUAAACGUCAACAUGCAUCCUGUUCUGACAGUGUAGCCAUGGGGUUUACCAGCCAGACUAUUGAGGGUGUUUGGUCCUCCCAACGCCCUGGAGACUGAAGUACUUACUGGGUUUUAUCAGUACGAUUAUCUGUUACGUCUCCUCAAUACAACUAUGUCCCUAUUGUUUCUUCUUGCCAUUGUGACAUGAUAGUUCAAUGUUUUCAUUUGUCUCAAAGGUGAUUGAGUUCAUAGUUAUCUAAAGUUCUCUGUUCAUAUUAUUCAGCGGUCAUGUUUCUUCUAAUGGCUAUUUUUAACAUGUCAAGGAAACGUUUUAUUAAAUGGUAUAUGUUAUUUUGUCUGGUGUGUGUACUCUCCUUUUCUGUCUGUCUAUAUGGAGAAACAAAUUGUGUUCCCAGACAACUGCACCGCUGGAUUCAGAAAUCAUAGGCCCUGGGGCUUUUGAUUUUCCUAUUGGUUCUACAAGCAUAUUAGUCUUUUUCAGCAGUAGGCAUUUGCUUUCCAAACUGCCUUUUUCCUGGCCACAAUGCAACAAGCUGUAGGCUAUAUUUGGCAGGCAUACUGCCCAAACGGCGGCCUUCCUGACUAGGCAUACCGGUUACUGGCAAAUUAAAGGAAACAAGGGAUACAAAGUAUACAGUUUAUUCGGAAGGUAUUCAGACCCCUAGACUUUUUCCACAUUGUUACGUUACAGCCUUGUUCUAAAUAUGGAUUUUUUAAAUUCCCCUGAUCAAACUACACACUACCCCAUAAUAACACUUAUACAAACAUUUCUAAAAUCCUGUUUUUUAUGUAAAAAAAAAAAAAAAGUUAUUUCACAUUUAUAUAACUAUUCAGACCCUUUACGCAGUACUUUGAAGGACCUUUGGCGGCAAUUACAGCCUCAAGGUUUUUUUUGGUAUGAUGCUACAAGCUUGGCAAACCUGUAUUUGGGGAGUUUCUCCAAUCAUUCUCUGCAGAUCCUCUCAAGCUCUGUCAGGUUGGAUGGGGAGCGUUGCUGCACAGCUAUCCUGAGCGCACUGGAGUAGGUUUUCAUGAAGGAUCUCUGUACUUUGCUCUGUUCAUCUUUCCCUUGAUCCUGACUAGUCCCUGCUGCUGAAAAUCAUCCCCACAGCAUGAUGCUACCACCACCAUGCUUCACUGUGCAAAGUUUCCUCCAGACUGAAGGUUGGCAUUCAGGCCAACGUGUUCAAUCUUGGUUUCAUCAGACCAGAGUCCUUUAGGUGCCGUAUGGCAAUUCCAAGCGGCCUGUUAUGUGCCUUUUACUGAGAAGUAGCUUCCAUCUAGACUCUACCAUAAAGAUCUGAUUGGUGGAGUGUUCCAGAGAUGGUUGUCCCUCUGGAAGGUUAUCCCAUCUCCACAGAGGAGCUCUGUCAGAGUGACUAUCGGGUUCUUUGUCACCUCCCUGACCAAGGCCCUUCUCCCCCGAUUGCUCAGUUUGGCCAGAUGGCCAGCUCCAGGAUGAGUCUUGGUGGUUACACACUUCUUCCAUUUAAGAAUGAUGGAGGCCACUGUGUUCUUGGGGACCUUCAAUGCAACAAAAAAAAAGUGGUUCCCUUACACUGAUCUGUGCCUCGUCACAAUCCUGUUUCGGGGCUCUACAGACAAUUCCUUCGACUUCAUGGCUUGGUUUAUGCUCUGACAUGCACUGUCAGCUGUGGGAACUUUAUAUGAUGUACACAGGUGUGUGCAUUUCCAAAUCAUGUCCUUUCAAUUGAAUUUACCACAGGUGGAAUCCAAUCAAGUUGUAGAAACAUCUCAAGGAUGAUGAAUGGAAACAAGAUGCACCUGAGCUCAAUUUUGAAUCUCAUAGCAAAGGGUCUGAAUUUAUUUAAAAAUAAAAAUGGUCAUUAUAGGAUAUUGUGUGUAGAUUGAUACUUUUUUGAUAAUCCAUUUUAGAAUAAGGCUGUAACGUAACAAAAUGUGUGGAAAGUCAAGGGGUCUGAAUACUUUCCGAAUGCACUGUAUGUUAUGGUGUGGGGUGCAUUUUCCUGGCAUGUUUAGGUAUACUUGUAAAAUAUAUAUAAUACAAGGUGCAUUGAUGCUGUGCUUGCAACUCGUAGUGGCGCAACACCCUUUUAAGACAGUUUGUUGGUGUUGAUUUAAUUUUGGCAGA
ensembl:lncRNA